AGCGAGAAGCUACCUUCGGGUAGUGGACAGCGGCGCACGGGUGAGUAACGCGUACACAAUCUACCUUAUAGAGGAGAAUAGCCCUGGGAAACUGGGAUUAAUGCUCCAUAGUAUUACACUUUGGCAUCAAGGUGUAAUUAAAGCUCCGGCGCUAUAAGAUGAGUGUGCGUACUAUUAGCUAGUUGGUAAGGUAACGGCUUACCAAGGCUACGAUAGUUAGGGGGCGUGAGAGCGUGACCCCCCACACGGGUACUGAGACACGGACCCGACUCCUACGGGAGGCAGCAGUAAGGAAUAUUGGACAAUGGGCGCAAGCCUGAUCCAGCCAUCCCGCGUGGAGGAUGACUGCCCUAUGGGUUGUAAACUCCUUUUAUUUGAGAAGAAACGCCUGGAUUUAUCCGGGCCUGACGGUAUCUUAUGAAUAAGCACCGGCUAACUCCGUGCCAGCAGCCGCGGUAAUACGGAGGGUGCAAGCGUUAUCCGGAAUCACUGGGUUUAAAGGGUGCGUAGGUGGUUUAGUAAGUCAGAUGUGAAAGCCCGGCGCUCAACGUCGGAAUUGCAUUUGAUACUGCUGAACUUGAAUCAGGUUGAGGUGGGCGGAAUGUGGCAUGUAGCG
rnacentral:rRNA from 1 species